rnacentral:rRNA from 1 species
CAGCAGCCGCGGUAAUACGUAGGGCGCAAGCGUUAUCCGGAAUUAUUGGGCGUAAAGAGCUCGUAGGCGGUUUGUCGCGUCUGCCGUGAAAGUCCGGGGCUCAACCCCGGAUCUGCGGUGGGUACGGGCAGACUAGAGUGAUGUAGGGGGGACUGGAAUUCCUGGUGUAGCGGUGAAAUGCGCAGAUAUCAGGAGGAACACCGAUGGCGAAGGCAGGUCUCUGGGCAUUAACUGACGCUGAGGAGCGAAAGCAUGGGGAGCGAACAGGAUUAGAUACCCCGGUAGUCCCUGUCUCUUAUAC